rnacentral:rRNA from 1 species
UGUCCUACGGGGCGCAGCAGUAGGGAAUCUUCGGCAAUGGACGAAAGUCUGACCGAGCAACGCCGCGUGAGUGAAGAAGGUUUUCGGAUCGUAAAACUCUGUUGGUAGAGAAGAACGUUGGUGAGAGUGGAAAGCUCAUCAAGUGACGAUAACUACCCAGAAAGGGACGGCUAACUACGUGCCAGCGGCCGCGGUAAUACGUAGGUCCCGUGCGUUGUCCGGAUUUAUUGGGCGUAAAGCGAGCGCAGGUGGUUUGUUAAGUCUGGUGUAAAAGGCAUUGGCUCAACCAUUGUAU